rnacentral:rRNA from 1 species
AGCCAUGCAUGUCUAAGUAUAAGCAAUUAUACAGCGAAACUGCGAAUGGCUCAUUAUAUAAGUUAUCGUUUAUUUGAUAGUACCUUACUACUUGGAUAACCGUGGUAAUUCUAGAGCUAAUACAUGCUAAAAAUCCCGACUUCGGAAGGGAUGUAUUUAUUAGAUUAAAAACCAAUGCCCUCUGGGCUCCUUGGUGAUUCAUAAUAACUUUUCGAAUCGCAUGGCCUUGCGCCGGCGAUGGUUCAUUCAAAUUUCUUCCCUAUCAACUUUCGAUGUUUGGGUAUUGGCCAAACAUGGUCGCAACGGGUAACGGAGGGUUAGGGCUCGACCCCGGAGAAGGAGCCUGAGAAACGGCUACUACAUCCAAGGAAGGCAGCAGGCGCGCAAAUUACCCAAUCCCGAUUCGGGGAGGUAGUGACAAUAAAUACUGAUACAGGGCUCUUUUGGGUCUUGUAAUUGGAAUGAGUACAAUUUAAAUCCCUUAACGAGGAACAAUUGGAGGGCAAGUCUGGUGCCAGCAGCCGCGGUAAUUCCAGCUCCAAUAGCGUAUAUUAAAGUUGUUGUGGUUAAAAAGCUCGUAGUUGAACCUUGGGCCUGGCUGGCCGGUCCGCCUCACCGCGUGUACUGGUCCGGCCGGGCCUUUCCCUCUGUGGAACCUCAUGCCCUUCACUGGGUGUGGCGGGGAAACAGGACUUUUACUUUGAAAAAAUUAGAGUGCUCCAGGCAGGCCUAUGCUCGAAUACAUUAGCAUGGAAUAAUAAAAUAGGACGUGUGGUUCUAUUUUGUUGGUUUCUAGGACCGCCGUAAUGAUUAAUAGGGACAGUCGGGGGCAUCAGUAUUCAAUUGUCAGAGGUGAAAUUCUUGGAUUUAUUGAAGACUAACUACUGCGAAAGCAUUUGCCAAGGAUGUUUUCAUUAAUCAGGAACGAAAGUUAGGGGAUCGAAGACGAUCAGAUACCGUCGUAGUCUUAACCAUAAACUAUGCCGACUAGGGAUCGGACGAUGUUAUUUUUUGACGCGUUCGGCACCUUACGAGAAAUCAAAGUGCUU